ACGCUGGCGGCAUGCUUUACACAUGCAAGUCGGACGGCAGCACAGAGAAGCUUGCUUCUUGGGUGGCGAGUGGCGAACGGGUGAGUAAUAUAUCGGAACGUACCGAGUAAUGGGGGAUAACUAAUCGAAAGAUUAGCUAAUACCGCAUAUUCUCUGAGGAGGAAAGCAGGGGACCUUCGGGCCAUGCGUUAUUCGAGCGGCCGAUAUCUGAUUAGCUAGUUGGUGGGGUAAAGGCCUACCAAGGCGACGAUCAGUAGCGGGUCUGAGAGGAUGAUCCGCCACACUGGGACUGAGACACGGCCCAGACUCCUACGGGAGGCAGCAGUGGGGAAUUUUGGACAAUGGGCGCAAGCCUGAUCCAGCCAUGCCGCGUGUCUGAAGAAGGCCUUCGGGUUGUAAAGGACUUUUGUCAGGGAAGAAAAGGCUGUUGCUAAUACCGACAACUGAUGACGGUACCUGAAGAAUAAGCACCGGCUAACUACGUGCCAGCAGCCGCGGUAAUACGUAGGGUGCGAGCGUUAAUCGGAAUUACUGGGCGUAAAGCGAGCGCAGACGGUUACUUAAGCAGGAUGUGAAAUCCCCGGGCUCAACCUGGGAACUGCGUUCUGAACUGGGUGACUAGAGUGUGUCAGAGGGAGGUAGAAUUCCACGUGUAGCAGUGAAAUGCGUAGAGAUGUGGAGGAAUACCGAUGGCGAAGGCAGCCUCCUGGGAUAACACUGACGUUCAUGCUCGAAAGCGUGGGUAGCAAACAGGAUUAGAUACCCUGGUAGUCCACGCCCUAAACGAUGUCAAUUAGCUGUUGGGCAACUUGAUUGCUUAGUAGCGUAGCUAACGCGUGAAAUUGACCGCCUGGGGAGUACGGUCGCAAGAUUAAAACUCAAAGGAAUUGACGGGGACCCGCACAAGCGGUGGAUGAUGU
rnacentral:rRNA from 1 species